UAGUAAAGAAGUAAUACUACAUUCAGUUUCGACCUGACAUAAAUGAUAAAUUUCAUCAUACUAA
rnacentral:tRNA from 1 species